rnacentral:lncRNA from 1 species
AACUUUUACUCGUCAGAUUACGUUCAAAAUGUGUUUGUUUGUUUGUUUGUUUGUUUUAAAGUUGGAAGAGAUUUCAUUAAUGUUUGGGGAAGAGUCAACAGAAGCGCACCUAAUAACAAAUUGAGAUUUGAGACUCACACCCCAUAUUCCAUAUCAUUUAUCAAUGCCCUAUCAGUAAUCAAGACACUAAACAAACCAUAAAUGCAUCUUAAGUCCCAACAAAGCAAUGGUAUUUAGGAGACGUUUUGACAAACAUGUCUUGUGCACAAAGUCACCUUACAAAGACAAAACCAAAACGUUUAUCCAAUUCCAUCCCAAAAUCGUAGGAACAACCCCAAGCAGCUAAACAAUCUCAAGACUAAAACAGCAACGGUAAAACACAAAUUCUCGAAAUCCAUGAAGCAAACCAAACACAUUUAAAAAAAUUGAAAACAGACAACUUUUUAAAGGGUUAAAUACCACCCAGGCCUCCAAUUGUUUACUAACCUUUUGCCUGUAACAACAAAUGAAGACAAAUGGAAGAAUUCAUUAAACAUUAAUGCGCUCCUAAUGUUGAGUGGUGUGGGACUGGAAACUGUGGAGCUUUUCCCUAUGACUUAAACCGAGUCAUUUGGCUUUUAAGGGACGCUGU